ACAUACGACCAUACCUGUCAGAAAACUCGGGAUCCCGUCCGCUCUCCCCUAGGUAAGCUGACAAGGGCCAGAUUAGUAGUUGGGUCGGUGACGACCAGCGAAUCCCUGGUGUUGUAUGUC
rfam:Thielavia terrestris NRRL 8126 chromosome 5, complete sequence.